rnacentral:misc_RNA from 1 species
UACGUAGGGGGCGAGCGUUGUCCGGAAUCAUUGGGCGUAAAGGGCGCGUAGGCGGUCCAAUAAGUUGGAUGUGAAAUCUCUGGGCUCAACCCAGAACCUGCAUCCAAUACUGUUGGACUUGAGGAAGGUAGAGGAGAGUGGAAUUCCUGGUGUAGCGGUGGAAUGCCCAGAUAUCAGGAGGAACACCUGUUGCGAAGGCGGCUCUCUGGGCCUUUCCUGACGCUGAGGCGCGAAAGCAUGGGUAGCAAACAGG